UCAGCAACUAGUUCCUGAAUAUAAGGAAAAACAGACACCUGAAAGUCUUCCUCAAAAUAACAAUCCAGAUUGGCAUCCUACUAAUUUGACCCUUAGUGAUGAGACUUGUCAGAGAUCCAAGAAUCUGAAAGUUGGUGAUAAAAGUCCAUCUGUAUCACCAUCAAUGCCUGAAAAUCAGUCAGCAACCAAAGAACUGGGACAGAUGAACUUAACAGAACGAGAAAAAAUGGACACUGGAGUUGUACUUCUCUCAGGGAAUGAUACUCUCCAUGACCUGUGCCAAUCACAGCUACCAGAAAACAAAGAGAGCAAAGAAGUGUCUCCCAGAAAGUGGUUUGUUGAAGUUUUGGAGAAUUAGAAGUAUUUCUUAAAGAA
rnacentral:lncRNA from 1 species